rnacentral:misc_RNA from 1 species
AUGCGAUAAGUAAUGUGAAUUGCAGAAUUCCGUGAAUCAUCGAAUCUUUGAACGCACAUUGCGCCCUCUGGUAUUCCGGGGGGCAUGCCUGUCCGAGCGUCAUUUGCAACCCUCAAGCCCGGCUUGUGUGAUGGGUGCCGUCCCCUACGGGACGCGCCCCGAAGGCAAUGGCGGCGUCGCGGUUAUCCGAUCAGCCAAAGUGUAUGGGGCUUUGUCACUCACUUUACGGCCCGGACCGGCGCCAGUCCGAAUCAAUCUUUUUUUUAAAGUUGACCUCGGAUCAGGUAGGGAUACCCGCUGAACUUAA